ensembl:lncRNA
AGCAGACCCAAUGAAAGGUGAAAGCUCUUUGGCUAGAAUGGCUCCUCAGAGUUGUUCUGAGUUGGGUUGAGAUGGCCAGGAUUGUAUACCCUUGUAUCAAUCAGUCAUUGGAUGUGGGCCACUUUGGGAAAGGACGUGAUCUUGGACAAGACAGUGUUCUGCUUCUAACAAUCCCUGAGUAGUGUGACAGCUAACGGCUGUCUGCUGACAGCAUUUUCAGAAUCAGACCCAUGUGGAUGAGGAGCGGGUGAGGAAGGCAUUGGAGUAGAAGGUGGAGCAGCUGAAGGCCGUCUUCAUCAAAACAUCUACUGCAUCCUGUAUGGCUGUUCUCACCUAGGCUUCCUCCUUGAACACGGAGGACACCUUCAGGAAGGCGGAGACCACCUUCUCCGGGUGGCAGG